rnacentral:rRNA from 1 species
AGAGUUUGAUCCUGGCUCAGAUUGAACGCUGGCGGCAUGCCUUACACAUGCAAGUCGAACGGUAACAGGUCUUCGGAUGCUGACGAGUGGCGAACGGGUGAGUAAUACAUCGGAACGUGCCCGAGAGUGGGGGAUAACGAAGCGAAAGCUUUGCUAAUACCGCAUACGAUCUCAGGAUGAAAGCAGGGGACCGCAAGGCCUUGCGCUCACGGAGCGGCCGAUGGCAGAUUAGGUAGUUGGUGGGAUAAAAGCUUACCAAGCCGACGAUCUGUAGCUGGUCUGAGAGGACGACCAGCCACACUGGGACUGAGACACGGCCCAGACUCCUACGGGAGGCAGCAGUGGGGAAUUUUGGACAAUGGGCGCAAGCCUGAUCCAGCCAUGCCGCGUGCAGGAUGAAGGCCUUCGGGUUGUAAACUGCUUUUGUACGGAACGAAAAGACUCUGGUUAAUACCUGGGGUCCAUGACGGUACCGUAAGAAUAAGCACCGGCUAACUACGUGCCAGCAGCCGCGGUAAUACGUAGGGUGCGAGCGUUAAUCGGAAUUACUGGGCGUAAAGCGUGCGCAGGCGGUUAUAUAAGACAGAUGUGAAAUCCCCGGGCUCAACCUGGGAACUGCAUUUGUGACUGUAUAGCUAGAGUACGGCAGAGGGGGAUGGAAUUCCGCGUGUAGCAGUGAAAUGCGUAGA